AAGGUAGCGAAAUUCCUUGUCGGGUAAGUUCCGACCUGCACGAAUGGCGUAACGACUUCCCCACUGUCUCGACCAGGAGCUCGGCGAAAUUGCAGUACGAGUAAAGAUGCUCGUUAAGCGCAGAAGGACGAAAAGACCCCGGGACCUUUACUAUACCUUGGUAUUGGCAUUCGGUGUGGAUUGUGUAGCAUAGGCGGGAGGCCGAGAGGCGCGGUCGCCAGAUCGCGCGGAGCCGUAAGGUGAAAUACCGCUCUGUUCGCAUUGGAUGUCUAACCUCGAACAGUCAUCCUGUUCAGGGACAGUGCCUGGCGGGUAGUUUAACUGGGGCGGUUGCCUCCCAAAGAGUAACGGAGGCGCCCAAAGGUCCGCUCAGCCCGGUUGGCAAUCGGGUGGCGAGUGCAAGUGCACAAGCGGGCUUGACUGCGAGGACGACGGUCCGAGCAGGGACGAAAGUCGGGACUAGUGAUCCGGUGCCGGUGUACGGACGCGGCAUCGCUCAACGGAUAAAAGGUACCCCGGGGAUAACAGGCUGAUCAUUCCCAAGAGUCCAUAUCGACGGGAUGGUUUGGCACCUCGAUGUCGGCUCGUCGCAUCCUGGGGCUGGAGCAGGUCCCAAGGGUUCGGCUGUUCGCCGAUUAAAGCGGCACGCGAGCUGGGUUCAGAACGUCGUGAGACAGUUUGGUCUCUAUCCUCUGCGCUCGUUGGAAUGCUGAGGAGGCCUGCCCAUAGUACGAGAGGACCUGGGUGGACGAACCUCUGGUAUGCCGGUUGUCACGCCAGUGGCACGGCCGGUUGGCUACGUUCGGAAGGGAUAACCGCUGAAAGCAUCUAAGCGGGAAGCCUGCUCCAAGAUAAGCAUUCCGUGGAACCUUCGAGUUCCUGUAGUCCCCAUGCAGAACACGUGGUCGAUAGGCCGGACGUGGAAGCCCCGCGAGGGGUGGAGCCGACCGGUACUAACGGACGAAAGGCAACACUAA
rnacentral:rRNA from 1 species